GGACUUGGGUCUGGAAUCAUCAGUAUUGUGAAGGGGAACCCUGGCAAAUUUGGCUACCAAGAGUAUAUGGCACUUCCUCUGCACUAUAUGUGUGCCUGUUAAUUGUUUGCAUGCUGAAGUGUGUCUCAACUGGUAGUGAGCCAUGCACUAGACCGGGCUUGCCCUAGCAGCGUGAGAAGGAAGGGAGGUGUUGGAGGGAGGAGGGCAAGGCGAAGGAGCGUGGACUACGUAAGGGAAAUAUUGAAUCUGAAGAUGCACUAUCCAAUGAGCACAUAAAUGGAGUUGCUCCCCAAAUGGAGGAGAUCAAGUUACUUAUGUUUUCAACUCCCGAAACUUGAUCUCUUUGAGCAGGACUGGGAUAGAAAAUUUUGCUAGGUUAGAGAUCAGAAAUGAACGUUGGUUCGUUGUGUUUUAUGCACCUUGGCGUCGCUUUUUCCAGGGUAGAUGGUGAGCAAAAGGCAUUUGCCAAGCAGAAAAUUCAGCUUUGGAGCAUUAUCACUGCACAAUUUUCCCUGCCUCCAAGCCUGUAAAAUAUUCCUCGGAGAAGAGGGAUAUUGAUUCACUGCUGGCUUUUGUCGAUUCGCUUCAAUCCCUAAGAGCAUGCUUAGACCCUUACUUAUCCACUU